ACAAGUACGGCGCCCGAUUCGGAGGAGCGGAGACUGGAUCGGGCAGAAAAUUCGUC
rnacentral:sRNA from 1 species